UACGGAGGAUGCGAGCGUUAUCCGGAUUUAUUGGGUUUAAAGGGUGCGUAGGCGGGAUGUUAAGUCAGCGGUAAAAUUGCGGUGCUCAACGCCGUACAGCCGUUGAAACUGAUAUUCUUGAGUGGGCGAGAAGUAUGCGGAAUGCGUGGUGUAGCGGUGAAAUGCAUAGAUAUCACGCAGAACUCCGAUUGCGAAGGCAGCAUACCGGCGCCCGACUGACGCUGAGGCACGAAAGCGUGGGUAUCGAACAGG
rnacentral:rRNA from 1 species